rnacentral:rRNA from 1 species
GCUUUUUCUUUCACCGGAGCUUGCUCCACCGAAAGAAAAAGAGUGGCGAACGGGUGAGUAACACGUGGGUAACCUGCCCAUCAGAAGGGGAUAACACUUGGAAACAGGUGCUAAUACCGUAUAACACUAUUUUCCGCAUGGAAGAAAGUUGAAAGGCGCUUUUGCGUCACUGAUGGAUGGACCCGCGGUGCAUUAGCUAGUUGGUGAGGUAACGGCUCACCAAGGCCACGAUGCAUAGCCGACCUGRGAGGGUGAUCGGCCACACUGGGACUGAGACACGGCCCAGACUCCUACGGGAGGCAGCAGUAGGGAAUCUUCGGCAAUGGACGAAAGUCUGACCGAGCAACGCCGCGUGAGUGAAGAAGGUUUUCGGAUCGUAAAACUCUGUUGUUAGAGAAGAACAAGGAUGAGAGUAGAACGUUCAUCCCUUGACGGUAUCUAACCAGAAAGCCACGGCUAACUACGUGCCAGCAGCCGCGGUAAUACGUAGGUGGCAAGCGUUGUCCGGAUUUAUUGGGCGUAAAGCGAGCGCAGGCGGUUUCUUAAGUCUGAUGUGAAAGCCCCCGGCUCAACCGGGGAGGGUCAUUGGAAACUGGGAGACUUGAGUGCAGAAGAGGAGAGUGGAAUUCCAUGUGUAGCGGUGAAAUGCGUAGAUAUAUGGAGGAACACCAGUGGCGAAGG